rnacentral:rRNA from 1 species
UACGAAGGGGGCUAGCGUUGUUCGGAAUUACUGGGCGUAAAGCGCGCGUAGGCGGUGAUCUUUGUCAGAGGUGAAAUCCCGAGGCUCAACUUCGGAAUUGCCUUUGAAACGGGAUCGCUUGAGUCCGAGAGAGGAUGGCGGAAUUCCUAGUGUAGAGGUGAAAUUCGUAGAUAUUAGGAAGAACACCGGUGGCGAAGGCGGCCAUCUGGCUCGGUACUGACGCUCAGGCGCGAAAGCGUGGGGAGCAAACGGG